rnacentral:rRNA from 1 species
GACAGAGGGUGCAAACGUUGUUCGGAAUUACUGGGCGUAAAGCGUGUGUAGGCGGCUACGUAAGUCGGAUGUGAAAGCCCCAGGCUCAACCUGGGAAGUGCACUCGAUACUGCGUAGCUUGAGUAUCGGAGAGGUUGGUGGAAUUCUCGGUGUAGAGGUGAAAUUCGUAGAUAUCGAGAGGAACACCGGUGGGCGAAGGCGGCCAACUGGACGAAUACUGACGUGGAGACACGAAAGCGUCGGGGAGCAAACAGG